rnacentral:lncRNA from 1 species
UUGUGAUAUGAUUGAUGAAUACUUUUAGGGGAAGUGACGCGGAUUUGGGUUUUUGUGGAUAUACUGACUGAGCCGACUCACUUUAUUCCAAUUAAGGUUGGGUUUCCAUUGCAGAGACUAGCAGGGAUCUACAUCAGUAUGAUUGUGAAGUUGCAUGUUAUUCUGUUGAGUAUUGUUUCUAAUUGUGAUUCGAGAUUUACGUCCAGGUUUUGGGAGAGUUUGCAAGAAGA